UUUUUAGUAAUCCUUACAAAUAUUGAUAAAGACUUUAAAACUUAAAACUCGAAAAAUAAAGAUUUCUAGAGAGAGAUUGUAGAGAGAAGGGAGAGCGAUUUUGUGAAUUCGUGCCCUCUUCGGUUUGGGGUGCUUCUGUAUUUAUAAGUGGAGUUGAGUAGUUGUUGCGUGGACGCGUGUCAUCCAUCGGGCGGUGUUGCUACGUGUCGUUGAUCCAACGUUGCCGACAUCUUUGGAUGACUUCAUUGCUUACGCCUUGAGUGUUGUCAUUGCUUACGUCUUGUGGGGUCCUUUUGUUUCUUUUUCUCUUGAAUAUUUUAUACAGAGUAUAUACUCCGUAUAUUAUUUAAAACUACUAAUAAGUAAUAAUACUUAGUUUAAGUAUAAUAACAUUUUAAUAAUAUACUGAGUCUACUAGAAUGUACAUACUUAAAACUUUGCCUUUUCUACCAAAACAAUCUUCGUUGACACAAUAGUGGCUUGCCAUCGGUCUUACUGCCUUCAUCAAAGGGGUUGCUGCCUGGAACACCAUUUUGUAUCGUCGAUGAAAGUUAAGAUAAAAUAAGCAAUAAAAUUUACAUACAAUACUUAAUGUAUACAAUAUUAUUAGGUUUUUUUGUUUUUUUUUUUGUGAACAGUAACUCUUGAAUUGUAAUAAUUUUAAUUUUUUUGGUAAUCCUUACAAAUAUUGAUAAAGAUUUUAAAACUUAAAACUCGAAAACUAAAGAUUUCUAGAGAGAGAUUGUAGAGAGAAGGGAGAGCGAUUUUGUAAAUUCGUGCCCUCUUCGGUUUGGGGUGCUUCUGUAUUUAUAAGUAGAGUUGAGUAGUUGUUGCGUGGACGCGUGUCAUCCAUCGGGCGGUGUUGCUACGUGUCGUUGAUCCAACGUUGCCGACAUCUUUGGAUGACUUCAUUGCUUACGCCUUGAGUGUUGUCAUUGCUUACGUCUUGUGGGGUCCUUUUGUUUCUUUUUCUCUUGAAUAUCUUAUACAGAGUAUAUACUCCGUAUAUUAUUUAAAACUACUAAUAAGUAAUAAUACUUAGUUUAAGUAUAAUAACAUUUUAAUAAUAUACUGAGUCUACUAGAAUGUACAUAC
rnacentral:lncRNA from 1 species